rnacentral:rRNA from 1 species
ACACAUGCAAGUCGAACGAAGCACUUUAACCUGAUUCUUCGGAUGAAGGUUUUUGUGACUGAGUGGCGGACGGGUGAGUAACGCGUGGGUAACCUGCCUCAUACAGGGGGAUAACAGUUAGAAAUGACUGCUAAUACCGCAUAAGACCACGGAGUCGCAUGGCUCAGUGGGAAAAACUCCGGUGGUAUGAGAUGGACCCGCGUCUGAUUAGGUAGUUGGUGGGGUAACGGCCUACCAAGCCAACGAUCAGUAGCCGACCUGAGAGGGUGACCGGCC